rnacentral:pre_miRNA from 1 species
AAUAAGAUUAUUUUUUAGUUUUUUGAUACAAUGUUUUGACUCUUCGUCUUAUCUGAAAUUUUUUUGUGAUUAAUUUUUUUGUUCUUACUAGAUGAUAAAACAUAAAUAGUAUUUUAUGCGUGACUAAUUUUUUCUAAAGUUUUUGUACAAAUUUUUUAAAUAAGAUGAAUGGUCAAACGUUGGACACGGAAAAACGAAAAUGAAGUUAUU